AUGGCAGAAUGCUUCAAUAAGGUGCUCAAGGGUGUACGUGCAUUACCCGUGACGACAAUAGUUCAAUACACAUUUGACAAUAUGAACGCGUACUUUUUAAAGUACUCAAUGGAGACGAAUAAGCAGAUUGCUGGUGAGAACAAAGAAAGGCACAAGUACAAUUUCCCACCAAAGGUUGAACAAUGGUUGGAAUUUCAAUCACGGAAGGCGGACUCCCAAGAAGCUGUACUAUAUGACAACAACGAUUGGAUGUUUGAAGUGAAAGAGCCUGGAGGAACCACAAACGAUGGCCACCAACACGGAGGCCGGGCUUUCAAGGUCUCCCUAACACGGUGUGAUUGUACUUGCAUGAGGCCAUCGUUGCUUCAUCUCCCAUGCUCGCACUUGUUGUACGCAUCCCGUGUUAGGAAUGUGGACGUCAAUCACCCUCUUAUCACGAGUUCUCAAUCAUGA
rnacentral:rRNA from 1 species